GUCGACGAUGAUCCGGUGCUUGCACCGGGGAUUAGUGGCGAACGGGUGAGUAACACGUGAGUAACCUGCCCUUAACUCUGGGAUAAGCCUGGGAAACUGGGUCUAAUACCGGAUAUGACUCCUCAUCGCAUGGUGGGGGGUGGAAAGCUUUAUUGUGGUUUUGGAUGGACUCGCGGCCUAUCAGCUUGUUGGUGAGGUAAUGGCUCACCAAGGCGACGACGGGUAGCCGGCCUGAGAGGGUGACCGGCCACACUGGGACUGAGACACGGCCCAGACUCCUACGGGAGGCAGCAGUGGGGAAUAUUGCACAAUGGGCGCAAGCCUGAUGCAGCGACGCCGCGUGAGGGAUGACGGCCUUCGGGUUGUAAACCUCUUUCAGUAGGGAAGAAGCGAAAGUGACGGUACCUGCAGAAGAAGCGCCGGCUAACUACGUGCCAGCAGCCGCGGUAAUACGUAGGGCGCAAGCGUUAUCCGGAAUUAUUGGGCGUAAAGAGCUCGUAGGCGGUUUGUCGCGUCUGCCGUGAAAGUCCGGGGCUCAACUCCGGAUCUGCGGUGGGUACGGGCAGACUAGAGUGAUGU
rnacentral:rRNA from 1 species